GCUUAGGAACAUCUUUUUUCUAAUAAACGUCUCUAGAGACGGUGAUUGAAGAAGUUUCGGUGUCAAAUUUUAAUAAAAGAACAAAAAAAUGUUUUGAACUGACCGAGUUUACGGCUCUUGCUUAUUAUAUUCUAAAUCAAGUGGAUACAACAACACAAAUUAAUUAAAUAGACUCCAGAAAAAAACAAUAACAUUAUGUCAUUAUACUUGUACUUUGUAAAAUGGAAAACUAAAACAAAUAAACGAUUGGUAACUUAAUUAUCCUGAAAUUCUAAUUAAACCUUCCAUAUCUACAUAUUAUAAUACCUUCACACACCUGCCACGAAAUUUUCAAUCAAUUCUGUUUCUUAUAUUUAGUCCUUGUUUCUUCAUUAGAUUAGUGGGUUGAAAUUAAUUGGGGAUCAAAAUUGUGUCAAGUAUGCUUUUAAUAGCCUUGCUAGCCAGUAUAGCCUUGACUACAAAGUACCUUGAGAUUGCAAACGGCCGACUAAUACUCUCCCUGUCAAAUGGGUUUGUCCAGCAACCAUUGCCAGAGACCCUCCCUAGACGACCCACAAGGAUGCUAGAGACUGUUAGCAGAUGGCGAAGACCACCAGUUGGCACACCGCCACCACCACAGAGGGCUCCAGGACAAAUGCAACAAGCACCACCACCUCCACUUAUCUACAGGUGACAUUAUUGGGGAUUUUAAGGCUAUCAUCUUCACGGUUUACCAUCUCCAUCAACUCUAGUAGAUGCAUGAUUCUGACAUUGAGACGUUCAACCACCAUCCCCACUUGAGGAUGUUUAGGGAACCUCCAAAUAGAUUCCCACCAGGUCAAUUUUGUAUCGACGACCACUGUACAAUUUCUCCUGCAGAGCAUUAAGCACCAUUGCUGUCACCUAUCAUUCCUAUAUUUUUUUUCUAUGUUAUGCACUACUCAUAGUACGUUUCCUGUAUUUAUAUCUAUGAGGAUAUGUCAGUUUAGAUGGCUUGGCUAAAUCUGUUUAUUUUAUUUUUCUACAUCUUAUCUGUGUUGCUAUUUAUUUGGUCAUUUUGCUCUAA